CACGUAGGGACCAAGCGUUGUCCGGAUUCAUUGGGCGUAAAGAGCUCGUAGGCGGUUCGAUAAGUCGGGUGUGAAACCUCCAGGCUCAACCUGGAGACGCCACCCGAUACUGUCGUGACUAGAGUCCAGUAGGGGAGCGUGGAAUUCCUGGUGUAGCGGUGAAAUGUGUAGAGAUCGGGAGGAACACCGGUGGCGAAGGCGGGUCUCUGGGCAAUUCCUGACGCUGAGGCGCGAAAGCGUGGGGAGCAAACGGG
rnacentral:rRNA from 1 species